GUCGCCUUUCCAGUUGCACUGAGGUCGUAAGUGAGGAGAGUGAAGAGGAAAGCAAUGGAGUCAACUUGAUGGAGUUCUCAGAUGAGAUCCUUCUGCACAUCCUCAGCUAUGUCCCUUGCACAGACUUGGUCCUCAAUGUCAGGAGAACCUGCAGGAAGCUUGCAACACUUUGCCUUGACAAGAGUCUAACACAUACAGUGCUGCUUCAGAAGGACUAUAAGGUGAACAAAGACAAAGUGAAGCAGCUGAUGAGGGACAUUGGGAAGGAGAUCUACCAGCUGAACAUGGCCGGGUGCUACUGGCUGCCCAGCUCCACCAUCGACCACGUAACACGGUGCAAGAACCUGGUGAAGCUGAACCUGUCGGGGUGCUCCGUCACCUCGCCGCGCCUCUCCAAGAUGCUCUCCUCGCUGCAGCACCUGCGCUCCCUGGCCAUCGACGUGAACCCCGGCUUUAACGCCAGCAAGCUGAGCAGUGAGUGCAAAGCCACCCUGAGCCGCGUCUCUGAGCUGAAGCAAACCCUCUACACACCCUCCUACGGUGUCGUGCCGUGCUGCACCAGCCUUGAGAAACUGCUGCUCUACUUUGAGAUCCUCGACCGCUCGCGGGAGGGGUUCAUGCUCUCUGGGCAGCUGAUGGUGGGCGAGAGCAACGUGCCCCAUUACCAGAACCUCCGCAUCUUCUACGCCAGGCUGGCUCCUGGCUACGUCAACCAGGAGGUGGUGAGGCUGUACUUGGCAGUGCUGAGUGAUCGGACACCGGAGAACCUCCACGCCUUCCUCAUCUCUGCCCCCGGCAGCUUUGCAGAGACGGGAGCCACCAAAAACCUCCUGGACUCCAUGGCCCGAAAUGUUCGUCUGGAUGCUUUACAACUGCCCAAAUCCUGGAUUAACGGCUCCGGGCUCCUGCAACACUUGAAGUUCAACAACCCUUUCUACUUCAGCUUUAGCCGAUGCACCUUAUCUGGUGGGCACCUGAUCCAGAGGGUCAUUAAUGGUGGCAAGGAUCUUAAAAGCCUGACCAGUCUGAACCUCAGUGGCUGCGUUCACUGCCUGGCCCCGGAGUCCGUGUUUCGGAAAGCAGAAGAUGACAUCGACAGCAGCAUUUUGGAAAGCUUGGUAGUGUCUUGCUGCAACCUCAGACACCUGAACCUCUCUGCAGCUCACCAUCACAGCUCUGAAAGCUUAGGGAACCACCUGUGCCAGCUCCUGUCCAGGCUAAAGCACCUGCUCUCAUUAGCACUACCAGUUUGCUCCAUCACCGAUGUUGGUGCAAGCGUGGAGAAGCCUCCCAGCACACCUAACCUGGUGCCCCAGACAUUUGGAAGGAAAGUUCGGAUUGGGGUACAGACAUAUCCAAGUAACUUAGGGGACCAGACAAAUCAGAAGAUCGAGUCCUCAGUGUUUUGGGCUCUGAUGGGAAGCCUCAGAUUUUUGGAAACCUUGGAGAUAAUUGGGUCCAGUUUCUCCUCUGCCAUGCCGCGCAACGAGCCAGCGAUUCGGAACUCGCUGCCUCCCUGUGUCCGGGCACAGAGCGUGGGGGACUCAGAGGUGGCUGCCAUUAGCCAAUUGACUUACCUGCAGAGCCUCACCUUAGCACAGCUGCCAAAUAUCCUCACGGGCUCUGGGCUCGUCAACAUCGGGCUGCAGUGCCAGCACCUGCGGACUCUUUCCUUGGCCAACCUGGGCAUGAUGGGCAAGGUGGUCUAUAUGUCUGCUCUCAUGGACAUGCUGAAACACUGCAAGUGUUUGAGAGAUCUCAGGCUGGAACAGCCCUACUUCUGUGCGGGCGCGCAGUUCUUCCAGGCACUGAGUCACUGCUCCGCUCUCCAGCGCCUUUGCAUCGUCUCCCGGAGCGGGACUCUGCAGUCUGACGCAGUGAUGUCAUUCAUGGCCAGCUGCCUCGAGGUCAUCAUGUGCCACAUGUUCAUGGGAGAGUCUCUCACCGUUUGCAAAAACCUCCAGCAGUCCAUUGUCCGGAGGAAAUGCCAGUCUCUCGUGAUGCUUUCUUCAGCUGGCUGCAUUGCUACCUGGGAUUUUCAUGCCUGUUUCCAGCAGCUGGAUCUCCAACCUUUCCUCAGUGUUUGACAGAAAUCUGGCCAUUUCAGAGCUGGAGAUGAGCUGGGAAUCUUCCAGGCACACACCUGUUUUCCAGGCAGAGCGCCCUGCAUUAAACGUCGUCAUUUUCCCUCUGCUGCACGAGGACUUGACAGAGGUCAUCAGAGAUGUCCCCAUGAGGCACUUGGAUGAAAUUACCUUGUUUAAAAGCAGAGUGGCUGAGGAACCUCCCAAUUUGUGGUGGUGACUGUCACAGCAUGGAAAGGACAAGUCAGUGUGAACCCCUGGAGCAGCUUCUUGUUGGCCUGGAUUUCCCAUCCUUGACUCCUGGCCCCUCACUGGAUGCUGUACAAUCACUUCAACCAGGUGCAAUUGCAAAAUAAAAAAAGCUGAUUCUUUACAGUGGGGAAACAUCUUUUGGAUAUUGCUUGCAUCUGAAAAAAUCGUGUCUCAAAGCCUUGUGGAAUCUGAUGAGUAUUUCCUUGCGGUUGAUAUGAAUUGUUUCUGUUAUUUUAUUGAAGUUAAAGGUAAGAGAAACUGACUUAACAAUGCUCUGUCCCCUGUGUCCCCUGGUGUCUGUCCCAAGGGCCCCUGUGUACGUUGGCAGUGUGCUUUGUGGUUUUGGUGAAUAUCAUUCUUUGCUUCAGUCUGUUUUUGGCAAAGUAGAGAGCCUAGGCCAGCUCAGAGGCACAAAAAUGUGUUGCUCAAUUGAAGUGCAUCACAUCUUUUCUAUGUUACAAAUAGGCAUUUGCAGUCACACAUGUGCAGUCACAGAUAUUUAAAGGGGUUUUUCUUUUGACUGAGAAGUACCACAAAGACUCUUUAUUUUUUAAUAACAAAUCAAGGUCAUUAACACCUUGACCAUGGUGUGUUCCUGCUGGUGCUGUUUCCAUUGGUCUGGUGGAAGAAGUUCUCAGCUCUUUUGGAAAUCCUUGUCCUAGGGUAGAUGGUGCCUACAGUGAAUAAGUUGAGGCUCAGAUCUGAUUUAUAUGCAGUCUGUCUUGCAGUAUAGAUGGGAAUGUAGUGUUCCAGUUCUGUCCUUAUAUCCCAUGCCUUGAGCUCCUGCUAAUUUUAGAGAUGUUAUGAAGUAUUUUCACAGUGUGAUUUCAGUCAGCUUCUCUGCUCCACAGAACUUCCUCAGGCAUCAGUAGUGGUCUGGAUCACUUUCAUAUUGCCUUAUUUACUGAGCACUUUUAAAAGCAUCAGACAGCUGUACCAAAAGCCAAGUUACAAAUUCCUGGAGCUGCAAGUCUGGGUGGCAGAAUUUUCCUUGGUAGCACACCAGGUCUGUCUUCUGCAAAGCAGCUGCUGACCAGAGCUGUCUGACUUCACCCAAAUCCCGAAUGUGUUGAGCUCUGCUCUUCUGGGGAGGCCCAGAGUCGUCCAAAGAUGAUGUGCCCAUCUCCUUGUCAGCAUUUCCUACCCAAGAUGCCCUCUCCCAAAUGCUCUUCUGCCCUCAGUGUUCAGAGGAAGCCUGGUCUGAUGGGAUAGAUUUGAGAGCAAAAUGCAUCUCCCAGCCUUGGAGGACUUUCUGUCCUUGCUUUCCAAUCAGCCACGUGUGAGCCUGCCCGGAAUUGUGUCCCCCAGGUGUAAAUCUUGAGCCAGGCUGUGACAGCCCCCGUGCUCAGAGAGGUCACAGUGAGGAGCAGGUGAGUGUCAGGCUCUGCUAGCACAGGUCUGUGCCUUGCUCAGACCAGCCCUGCUGGUUUGCUGUCCUUCCCGAGGCUCUCAUCCUUCCCCUGUGAGGGCAGGGAGCCAGCACAGCCUCUGGAGAGCAGCAGGAAUGUGAGGGCAGCUCCCCUGGGAGUGCUGCAGCUGAGCUGGGAGCACUCCUGAGCGUUGGAGGCUCUGCCUCAGCUCCCUGCAGCUGAGUGUGGGGAGCUGCCGCUGUUUCCCCUCCAACUGUCCCCCCUGAGGUUCUUUCUGCCUCUUGUCACAUUACUCCCAUUUGGAUCCCCUUCUUGCCCUCUUCUCUCCCUCUCUUGAGCACAUCAGAUGUGCUUUUUGGCAGGAGCACGAGCUGCUGUUCUGUCCAGCUCAGGCCACUUCAGCUCUGCCUGGUUUUUGUCCGUGUUUUUUUCCCGGGAUGACCAGCAGGACUGGGCAGAGGGUGUUUGCAAAGCUGCUUUCUCCUCCUGGUUGGAAGCACUGGCCUUGUCCUGCCUGUGCCACUGGCCUCAGGGCAGAGGGAAGGUGCAGGGUGUGGCAGGAGCUCUCUGGUGCCUUAGGGAGCCUGUUCAGUCCUGUGUAGGAAUCCUGAUGUUGGUUGAGUGGCCAUUGCCACCCUCAGCGGGCAUUUCCCUGCACAAACAGCUGUGGUGGCAUCAGCAGGAGCUGGGCAGUGCUGCCAGCUCACCUCUCCUGUUGCUCUGGGGGACAGUGCUGUGCAGACCCAGCUGCUGCCUGGUUCUGGUGUGAAACCUUUGCUCUUGGGCUUGCAGUCACCUGGUGGAACAUGCUGUGCACUUGGCUUGGUACAUCCAUGUCCACCUGCCUGGUGUGCUGCUGCUGGAUGGGAGCAGCAGCCAGGGAUGUUUAAUGUGCUGUUAUUCUCUUGCCAGGGAUGUGAUGUUUGGGCAUCUGUAUUCGUGCAAGUGGGUCACAAGUCCUGAUGAUGCUGCCAGUUGUAAGCAGGGCUAGGAAAGGUCACCCACAGGUGAUAAAGGCAGCAUCCCAAACAGUAAUAAAAACUAAAAUCUCCUUCCACCCCCAGCUCCCCAACUCUGGGCCAGUGCUUGAUAUCUCUACUACAAAUCCUCUUAUGGAGAGUGAGAAUUUCCGCUGCUUUUGCACUCCAGGCAGGAUUCACCAGAUGUUAAUAAUGUGCUUAUUUUCUCUAAGUGCUAUUUUGGCAUCGGUGUUAAUUACAAUUUAUAUUCUGCAACAUUUACACUGGGAAAAGAACCCACCCUAAUGGUACCCAAUUGGCAGAGCUGGGCUAUUAAACACAGCUCCAUAUGUUCUGAGCAGAGCAGUGCAUGGGACUCAGAGCCCACUCAGCACUCAGGCAGCUGCAGAGGAAGAGAGGGGAGCAGGGAGAGGGGUGUUCUGCUCCUGGAUUUUAUUUAAUAUGAAAUCCCCCCUCCUUUUCUCUGUCCCCAUCUCUCCAGAAAUCUCCCUCCUGCUAUCUGGGAGCAUUUAAGGAGGUGAUCUCUGAGCCUGCUGAUGCUGCUGUCCAUAGUCUGAAACAAAUGAAUUCAAUUCCAGAAGGUGCCCUUCUCACAGGGAGUGCCUCUGCAGGAUCCCAGUCCCCGCUGCCUUCCAAAGCAGACCUCCAAUCUUUGGGAACUGCAGCAGAAAUCUUUGCUCUGACCACCCCCAAAGUGUCCAUGGUUCUGUGGGAGAAGAAUGUUCUGGGACAGGUCAGUUCUUGUGUAAAACUUGGUGUAGAUUGCUGCUCUGCUCAUGUCCAAAGUCUUGUUUGGCUGGGAGGGUCUGGAGUGACCCUGGUGUGGGGAAUUCAGAGGGGCUGAGUCAUCUGUGUUCCCGUGGGUUUCUUGGGAGUGUGGGUUAAAGGAUUGCUUCCUCAGCUGUUGGCAAAGCUGAUUUCAUGGUCUCUUUAGAAAUGGCAGUGAAUGCACUGCUGUGUUAGGAGAAGGGGCUGUGUGGUGACAGCCUCUCCCUUCAGGAGAGCUCUGACCGUGGUCCCUGCUCUGUCAGGGAGGAUAAGAUGGGAGUGAGAGGAGGCAGGGCAGGAUGGAGGCAUGGAUCUCCCUCUGGAAUCCAAACACACAUCCUGAGCUUGGCCUGUUGUGGGAGGGGAGGAGGCUCCCCGGGUGCUGAACCCUCCCCUCCAGGUUGGGUGUUGCUCACAGAGGGCACACCUGGGGCUGGGCUGCCCUGAGAGCAGCAAAGCCACAUUCCCCCUCACUGGGCUUUAAUUCCCAUCACUGCCUCCUCUGCAGGACCUGUCCCCUCACAGGGAUGUUCAGAGCUGUGGGACAGUGGGCAGGAGUGUGGGACCAUCCCUGUGAGGUGCUGGGUGCCUCCUUCCAGCAGUGCUGCUUUAGGAUAGGGCUGUAGAAAUUUGGGGCUUUCCCCCUGGUGGAGUGAAGCAGUGCAGAAGGGUUGUUUCACCUGUCUAAGGGGGAUGCAAUUCCCACUUGGCUGGUCCCAGCAGAGUGUCCAAAGCUGGGAGAGCAGUGCAGGAGCUGUGCUGGGUGCUGCAGAGCCCAAUCUCCUUCCUCUGCAGCUCUCCUGCCUCUUUGAGAUGCACAGGCAGCCAGGGUACUCCAGCAGGAGAAUCAUUUCCAUAGAAACCAAUUGGGAUGUUGUACAGGGAAUAAUGAUUAAUAGUGAAGGGAUGUUGCCUCAGGCACUUUUCAUUUUUUAGGGGGCAGUGAGGGACAAACUGGGGCACAGGUAGGGGGACAGGGAGACUUGAAAACUAAUGGAAACCAUCUCUUCCAUUAAUUUCCAGGGCAGCUUCCCCUCUUCUCCUCCUACCCAGCCCCCCACUGCUGCUCCCAGCUUUCGUCAAAUUUUCAAAAUGGCUAACCUGGUUAGAAAUAAUCAUAAUAAUAAAAAAGGAUGGAUGAGGUCUGACUACUAACAUUGUUGCUGUUAGCAGCAGGAUUUCAGCCAUAAAACAUGAAGCAAGGGAGGCAUUGACCUUUCCGCUGUUUGAAAUGAAUGGAGACAUCAAUAUCUAUUGUUUUGUGGCAUUGACCUCUGACGCUCUCAGCUCGCCCUCCCCUUUCUUUUUUUUUAAUUUCCCCCUGACACUGGAGGAAAGGGGUCAGUCUGUACCAUCUAUUGAUCCCCAUCUUACUUGGUGAUAGGGAAAUAAUUAGAAUUUUAAAGAUCCCUGCUGCACGCUGGUGAAAUACACACACAGAGGCACAGGCUAAGCCCCCGCUUGCCAUGUUGUGUUCUCCCCCCUUCCUUGCAGAGAUCCAAAGCUCUGAGAUCUGAAGGAAGGCAGAUCAAUAUAGGUUUAAUCAUGAUGGGGGUUUUAUUUCGGUUUUUUAAAUAGUAAAGUGUAACAUUUUAUGUUAAUGUUGUCGGAGCCUGGCUGCCUGGUGCCUUGUUUUAUUUAUUCUUUUAAGUAGCCCCUUCUUUUGUGAACUUCAUCUAUGUACAGAGAAUGUGAAAUCAGGCAUUGCUAAUUAGCUGUAUGACAAUUAAGUAAUGUAGCACAAAACCAUUAGGACACUGGAUUUGUUUUUGAAGUUUGUCCUUUGAAGUGGAAGCUGCAACUCCCUGCCCAAGGCUGCUGGGGAAAAUGUUUUUCUAUCAAAACUUUCUUUGAAAAUAAAAUGUCAGUGUAAGAGUCCCUAUUUCUGUCGUCUCUCCCUCUGAGCAGCGGGUGGAAAUUGUUUCUCCUUGUAAAAACUGCUGGCAUUGAUAGAAAGGGGGAUUCAGGAAAGCAUUAAAUGGGCAGUUGGUCUCCAAACACCCUCAAUUCUGGUAGAGAUAUGACCAAAAAUUCUUCUUUAGCUCCUUGAAAGGGAACGGUGCCGCGCUAGGAGAGAAGACCCAGCUCCCAGCUCUGGAGAUGGCAAAGGGAGGUGGUGCUAAAACUGGGGGUCCAUCUCUGACCCCCCAGGUGCCCCCAGGGUGGCAGCCUGGUCACAGAUCCCUGCAGGCUCCUGGGCUCGGGCUCCUCCAUCGUGUGCUGGUUUGACACUUGUGUUUGCAUCUGGCCCUUUGUCCUCGUAGUGAGUCCAGUUCUGAAUGUGCAACUUUCAUGUACGCUGGUGGCAUGUAAAACUUCAAAUAAAGAGUGGAACAUUUGGAACCA